rnacentral:rRNA from 1 species
AACGAACGCUGGCGGCAUGCCUAACACAUGCAAGUCGAACGAGACCUUCGGGUCUAGUGGCGCACGGGUGCGUAACGCGUGGGAACCUGCCCUUAGGUUCGGAAUAACUCCCCGAAAGGGGUGCUAAUACCGGAUAAUGUCUUCGGACCAAAGAUUUAUCGCCUUUGGAUGGGCCCGCGUUGGAUUAGAUGGUUGGUGGGGUAAAAGCCUACCAAGGCGACGAUGGAUAGCUGGUCUGAGAGGGUGAUCGGCCACACUGGGACGGGGGCACGGCCCAGACUGCUACGGGAGGCAGCAGGGGGGAAGAUUGGAGAAUGGGUGGAAGCCUGAUGCAGCAACGCCGGGGGGCGGAUGAAGGUCUUGGGGGUGUAAACCGCUUUUGCUCAGGCAGAAGCUGUGUGUGACGGUAGUGGGUAAAGAAGCACCGGCUAACUACGUG